AAAUAGAUAAAUAGAUAAAAGAUGAGCAAAUGGGUCUGAUGUGUUCAAUUAAAUGGGGAACGAGUGAUUUCUUUAAGUUUCUUAGAUGCUCAGAUAUGUUACGUUAUGUGCGCAUGCGCAGCUUCACUAGAGACUUAAAUUACAGCACCUGGUAAUCACUUCACCGCAGACAAUCAUCAGGAGCACACAGCCCGUUGGCCUUCCCAGUGAACACCACCGCAUAAGAUUGCCUGCUGUAGUUCUUCGAGAGAUGUCCAGUUUGCAGCCGAACAUGCAGCAAAGAGAAGACCAGCAAGGGGGCCCUCAUCUGUGACUGUGAGAAUUCCUAUCAAUGGAACAGUCAGCCACAUGUUGGCAAGUAUCUGGCCAGCAACCUUCACCUGUCAGCAGCAAACAUUUUCACAGGCUCAUCAUUUGUAAAUACAGAAGAAAAAUGGAUGGAGCCAACACAUGAAGACUUGCAAGAUGAUGUGAUAAAGUCAAGACGGACAGACGGGCAUGAUACUGAUGUCACUGAAUGGAGAGAGGGACUGGCACUCGGCAUGAACAUAUUACCAGACAACUUUUACUUGUAUUGUUUUUUUAUUUAUUAUUGAAUUGAAUGGUAUCAGACAAUAUUGGAAAGAAGUAAUCCUGUGUAUUCUGCACAAGGACCAGGGAAAUCCUGUUGUAUACGGGACACCACACAGGAAGGUAUGACCAUCUGGCAUGUUUUCCAAGGUAGCCCCAUUACCACGAGACAAAAUGCAGAUAGGCACAGUAUCUGUACCGGCUGGGAAUUACAUUUAGAAUGUCUACAGUGCAUUCGGAAAGUACUCAGACCCCUUGACUUUUUCCACAUUUUGUUACGUUACAGCCUUAUUCUAAACAUGGAUUACAUUUUUUUUCUUCAUCAA